ACCAAGGACCAGAUUUUCAUCUGUGUACCUUUGUUUUCCUCUCCAUUUCCAAUGGUGUCUAGUAUUUCACAGACACUGGUCUGCGGGGGCCUCUUCCACCGAGGCUUCCUGGAUGACUCAAGACUGACCUCCUGACAUUUUGAAUCUGACAUUUACUUUUCCUUCGAAGUAAUGAUUCAUGACCACUCUGCCUUCAACUUUGUUUCUGCUCUGUGUUUCCCUGGGCAAAUGGAAAGAGCUUGAGGACAAGUCUUUUCACUACUAGCUCUGACACAGGACAAGUCAUGUGAUCUCCCUGGAUGAAGAGGGAUUGGAUGACCCAAGUUUUUGGGUCAUGAGUGUGUUAUCUUUUCACCAUUUAGGAAUGUUGAAAGUCCUGGGGAAUCUUAGAGAAUGGAAAGCACUUUUCCAUAGUGUUUAAAUAUAGAAUUUCUCAAAGUCCUUUUGACUAAGGACUUUCUCCUUGCCCUUUCCCCUAACGUAAGUGCCUGUUGAUACCUUGUGGAAAUAGGAAAACAAGUAGUCAAGACGUUUUAUGGAUUUUGGGAGACAGAAGUCUGUCUCAGAACUUACGUUCUCAGAUUUGUAUUAAGGGACAGGGCAAGGCCUGCUCACCAACAAGUCAGUGAUAGAAGACAAACAGAACGACGGUUUUGGGUCAUUCUCUAAAAGUAGGCUGCUAGCACACCCUUUGUCAACUUCGUCUUGUCUGAGCUAUUUUAUGGGCCUGCCGCUCAGUAAGUCAGCAAUUAAUAAGUCUAAACAGAGUCAAAGCCUCCACCUUCCUUGUACAAGGGACUCCAAGUUAUUUGGGGUGAGGGGUGGAGAUCUACCAGAAAGCUUUUUAUCUUUUAAUGACAAUAGUGGUUGUGUUCUUUCUUGGGCCAUCACCACCGGGUUCUUAAAAUGAGGAUUUGAUCUACAACUUUGUAGACUCCACCAGGGGCAAGUCCUGCUCUCCUUGCUAUCCAUUCCCCACCCUGCAUCUGUCCGCCAUUGCAAAGGCUCAGAAGCCCAGCCGAGAGAGCAAGGCUGUUGUCCAAUUCAAAGAAAUGACAAGGAAAUACAGCCCUCCCCACCUGGAUGGUAAAUUACUGUGAGGGAGGCAGAAUACACUCUCCACAAAUGAAAGUAACUCUUAAUUAAGCAGGAGCCGAAGAUCUGAAGCUGUUUGUUCUUCAAGACGUGUGCCGCUUCCACAUUCCACAUGGUCAGGGGGCUGUCGGGCUGCCAUGGAGAUGGAAUUUAAGUAUAGAACUGGAAGGGCCUCAGCCUGGGACAGAACUGGGAUGCUUGGGACAAAGAACUUGAAGAAUCCUAUCAGGUUGAAUGGAAGAACAGUAUGUAGACUUGAGUCUGAGGAGGAUGGAUAGCCUUUGAGAGUCCCACUACAGACAGACACACUGCUUGAAUGGCUGAGUUUCCAGAUUUUUUGUCCAGUUUGUAGUUUGUAAUUUCAUGUCUCCAUGUCAAAAAAAAAUCUACAGGAUUCAUUUAUCCAUUUAUCCAAGGAUCUUCUAUGUCACACGAGAAGACUUGAGGCCUAUCUGACCACAAGCUGGAGUUCUUGAAUAUUCAUAAUUUGUGUCUUACAUAAUGUGCUCUCUCCCCCAUCGCACCUGCUCGCUUUGAGUGAAUUUAUUAAGCGGAUCCCUUGCACGAGCAAAGGCACGGCUCUGAAAGCCAAGCAGCAAGCCUGUCUUCCCAUCUGCUCCCGUUCUGUGCUGACUGCAGGGGCUGUUUACCUCCAGAGUCUGAAGAAGCUGUGAACAAACAGAAGGCAAGGCAGUUUCCCGAACUGCUCAGAGUGGAUUACAUCACACGGGAAAACAACCCAGACCUGAGGAAUUGCAUUGUGGGAGAAUCCCACUUCUUCCGAGUGUCACUUGACACACACUUGGCAGCUAGGAUCUAUAUGAUUAGUAUGGCUCAUCCAAGGCUUCCCAUUUUCUCUGAGAUGCCAGUGUUUGUGAAAUAGCUUCUCUACUUGAAUAAACAUUUUCUUAUCACUA